UUAAACUUGUGCAUCUGUUUAACAAGAUUUAUAAUUCUAUCUUAAAAUUAAUCAUUUGAAUUAUGUGUUUCCAUUGAUCGUUGCACAUAGAAUCUAUCUGAAUAAAAAACAAACGGAAGAAGCUUAAAAAAAAGUAGUCAAAUAGUCAAGAAACAUCGGGACGGUUAAGAAACAAUGUUCAUUACUAUAUUGGUAUUUUCUAUAUUUAUUUUAUUGGUAUAUAAUUAUUAUGUGUAUCAUAAAAAAUACCGACAACUUCUUAAUCUUAUACCGGGACCAUCGGGUUUUCCGAUUAUUGGCAAUGCGCUCCAAUGCUAUGUGUCAGAAGAGAAAUUAUGGAAGCUCUUCUGUAAAUUGUCUGAUGAAUAUUAUCCCAUUAUUAAAUUCGGGGUUUUUUUUAUAUAUGGAGUGGGUAUCCGUCAUCCAGACGAUAUAGAGACGAUACUAAGCAGUACUAAGCACAUCGAGAAAAGUUUUCUGUAUAACGUUGUUCAUCCUUGGUUAAAUACAGGUCUUGUAACUAGUACAGGUAAUAUAAAUAUAAUAAUGUUAAUAUAUGUAUAAGUACAUAUAUACUUUUCUAUUACAAUUUGUGAAACGUCAUUUCGUUUACAAGCCACGUCACAAAAAAUCAAAUAAAAUGUUACAAUUAGACUUAAAUAUAUUAUAAAACAAAUACAAAAAAAAGCAAGUAAGGCCACCGAUAUUAAAGGUUGAAAAAGACGUUAUUGACGAUCUUGAUAUGACUUUUACGGGCGUGAUACAACGGAUUAGUUUAUAUUAUUAUUUAUUGCAUUGAAAAGGAUCCGGAGAGGAUUGAAACGUUUGCGCUAAUUAUUGUAUCUUGAAAUUUUAAACAUGAUUGUAAUUUAACACGCGUUUACAAUUAAAUCUUUUUUUGUCAACCUUUAAUAUCGGUGGCCUUACUUGCUUUUUUGUGUUUUUGUGUAUUUGUUUUAUAUUUAUUAUUCGGCGCCACCUAUUCUUAUAACAUUUGUUAUUUUAAAUAUAUUACAUAUCUAGUUUUAUCUUUAAUCCGUAGCGGUGCACAAUAUAACUCUAGGGUAACUGCGAGAUAUUGAUGUCACUAUGCUGUGAUUCGUUUUAUUAAAUUUAUAUUAGUUAGACUGAUUACAAAACUAGAUUUCUUUUUACAAGCGAGAUUUCGCGGGAAGUGUAGAACAACUACUAAAAGUACUAAUACUUACUAUACUACUACUACUGUAGUGUAAUACUAAAAGUAGUAAAACUACUACUUUUAAUAUUACACUACAGUAAAAAAAAGCUCUGAUGAAGUGUCAUCUAUGCGAGUCUGAAUUAAAAAUAAACUUGAAAUUAAAAAUAUUAUAGUUGUUGUCAUUAAAGACAAAAAACACUAAUAGAAUAUUAUCCUAAAUAGCGAAUUUAUAUUUCUGUGUUACAAAAAUUAAUAAAAAAGA